UUUAUUUUCAGGCAAUGAUGAACGAAUGCUUCGAAAAACAAUGUCCUCAAGGUUUUGCUUUUCAUCGAAAGUUUCCCAUUCAAACUGACUCGUCGGGAUCUUUCAGCUACAGUGUGUUAGCGAAACAUCUGGAAUCAGUCGCAAUACAACCGCAUUUAUCGGCUGUGACAAAGGAGUGUGCUGCAGUUGUUUUAGUCUACCAGAUAGCACAGACGAUCUCUGUGGCACCGAUUGUAAGGCAAAACCUGGCGCAAAUGUGGUAAAGAAUGUUUAUUCAUGGUUCUGGGUGAGGACAUCUUCUCCAAAGAAAGUUUGGAACAAAUGCAUGGAAUUUAAAGUUUCCGAAGCGAACGGAGACGAGGUCUGGUACAAGUUAUUUGGUCAAAACGUUGUCCCCAAGAGGGGUCGUUGUUCCAGAAACGAGCCGCUUUUGACUGAUGGAAUUAUAGUUGUUCCUGAUAAUAAGACAGUUGGUAAAAUUCCAGCAGUCCAAGGAAUAUUAAAAUUUCGAAAGGACAAUCAAAAACUUUAUGUAAGAUCAAAUGAAAGAUGGAAUGCAAUUGCAGAAGAGAAAAAGGCAGUUACUACAUUUUGGAGCCAUCUGUAUAAUAUCAUUUUUUCACCUUUCCUAUUCAAGCUUGUAACUACUAAUCAAUAAUAAUUUCAAACCUUAUCUAAUUAAACCUUAUCUAAUCCAAUCUUAGUAUUUUUAGUCCAAAAUUUCUCGCUUUUCUUUUGCUUUUACUUUCCCUUUUUGCACAGUCCCGUGUUAUAUAGCUGGCUAACCUAUCAUCAAAGCCUCAAAAUUUAUAUAAGUAAUCAUGCGAUGGCGAGUACAA